rnacentral:lncRNA from 1 species
AGGCAGUUCCAAACAAUUUGUCCACCCAUGGAAAAACCAAUGACAUAGAAUUUGGACCCCAAUCCCAAUUGAUCCGCAAGCUCUUCUAUAUCUAAGGCAAUGCUCUUUAACGUACGAUUUGGAUCGGGAUCACUUUCUCCAUAACCAGGUCUAUCAAAGGAUACAAUGUAGACCCCUAAUUCCUUAACAACAUCCUGGGCAAGCUCACAUUAAAUAUAUUAUUACAUACCAUGAAGAAAUAUGAGAAUGCACGUAUAUCAGACAGAAGAAAAUUAUAAUAUAGAAAAUUACGGGUGAUAGGGUGUUGGCAACCACAGCGUCAUGCCUGCAAGUGCUGAUACCAUGGACAAAGAUGAUUUUAUACUUUGCAACAUCUUUAGAAACACCAUGCUCUUUGUAUGCCAAAUGCCUUCCAUCUCUUAGUUUGAUUCUUGGUGCUGUUAUAGGUGGUCCAUCAGGAGAGCCGCAUACUUUGGGAGGAGGAGCUUGCGUAACUUGAUAAGCCCAUGCUAGAACCCCAAUAAACAACACUGCUAAUGUUGUUCUAAGAAUUCCUGAGUUUGUAAUUCCAAAUUAAAAGGAAGAUACAUACAAUUUAAAACAUAAAUUGUGGUUAGUGGUCCAUAAGUAAAUAUCAAAAUACAACUUAAUAAUUACAUUAUGCUGAACACAGGUAAAACUAGCUAUAAACCACAUAUUAAGGCCAACAGAGACUGAUUCAUGACUAAAAACAAUUGUUGGAUAUUUUGAAUGAAGAUUUAGUGUUGAAAGAUGUCCUAUAGUUAUCAGAGUAUUGUUUCUAUUACCUGUUUUACCUUCCAUGAGAAGAUUUUCCCAUUCAAAAGAUCCUUCUCCUUCACCCAGAGCCAAUGUUGGAACUAUCAUCCAACAUCAAUUCUUCCCCCACACUUCUUUCCAACCACCUGAACCUCUUCCCAGAUCUUCUCCCACUCCACUACUUUAUCCUAUCCAUCUUCCUAGCCAUCGAUUUCCGAAUACAAAUAGACACUCGCAUGGAACCCAUAAACCACCACCUCACCUUCAGGAUUACAUUUGUAAUUCCUCCUCCACCUCUAAUUGCACUCAUUCCAUUAAUGAAUACCUCUCUUGUCUCAAUCUUUCCUCUAGCCACAAGGAUUAUGCCCUUUCCCUCGAUGCUAUCCCUGAAUCCUCUAACUACUUUGAAGCUAGGAAGCACCCAUGUUGGGUUGAGGCUAAGAACAAAGAGUUAAAAGCCUUGGAAACUAAUUGUAAUUUGUCUAUUCUGGACAAACUUGUUGGUGUCAAUUGUAUCGGCUGUAAAUGGGUGUAUAAAGUCAAAAGGAAGACAGAAACUGAAGGGAUUGAUUUCUUUAAUACCUUUUCUCAGGUUGCUGAAAUGGCUACUGUGAGGAUGCUCAUUGCCUUUGCUAUCAUUAAAGGGCGGCACAUUAAACAAUGAAACAUGGAAAAUGCUUUCCUUGAUUGUGAGUUAAAGGAGGAUGGUAUGCCCCAAGUUUGAUGAACUCUUCCCCUCAUAGGGUUUGCAAGUUGCUUAAAUCAUUGUAUAGUCUAAUACAAGCGAGUAGAGAAUGGUAUAAACGCUUGUCCACCUUACAUUUGAGCUUAGCAUUCAAUAAAGCUCAUUAUGACCACUCGAUGCUCACCAACAUCAAAACUAUAGAACCCUCCUCCUUUAUGUGGACAACAUUGUCCAGGUUGAGGAUCAUCUUUCCGAGCUCUCCCAGAUCAAGAGUAUCAUUGACAACAACUUUGGCAUAAAAUAUUUUGGUAUCUGAAAAAAAUUUCUGGGCCUUGACGCUACUCACUCACCUAAAGGCAUUUCCCUUUGCCAAAUAUAACACUGUCUCAAUUUGCUUUCUGUCUUAGGCGUACUUGGCAGCAAACUGGUUUCAACUGCUACGGAACCUAGUUUUCAUUUGCACUACGAUGAUGGGACCCUUUUCAAUGACAUUGAUAUCGCAUUUACUUAACGACCACUGGGCCUGAUAUCACACACACUUUCUGUUCAGUUAUUCUCCCAAUUUCUAUCCAAGGCUAGUGUCUGUCAUUUCAAGGCUGCUGAAAGAGCACAUCACUACUAGAAAGGUUUACUGGUUCAGGGGAUUUUCUUCGGUGGGAAUUCUUCUCUAGAUCUUCACGGUUAUAGUAAUUCCAAUUGGGUAGGUUGUUCCGACUCACACCACACUAAAAAUAUUGCUACCUCUUUCCUAGGGGAUUCCUUGAUUACAUAUCAUUCUACAAAGCAGUCUAUUAUUGCUCGCUCAAGCUCUAAAUCUCAAUACCGUGCAAUAGCUUCAGUCAGUUACUCGCUUACUGACUUACAUAUUUCUUGUGUAAAGUUGUCCCUCUUAAUCUUAUAUAGUGAUAACAAAAGCGCCUUCCACAAUACUGCAAAACCAAGCAUCUUGAGAUUGAUUUCCGUGCGGCUAGAAUAUGAAUUAUGAAACUAUCCAUUGAAUUCACGAAGCUGCUAAUUUUGUCUCUUGCAAACCAAAUAUCCGAUCUUCACCAAAACACUUCUUCCUCGGCAUUUGUUCCAUCUCAUUUACAAGCUUCGAUUGAUAAACAUUUAUCAAUCUUCAACUUGUGGGGGUAUUACACAGUUAGCUAAUUAGUUAGUUAAAUUCCUAACUAACUGAACUAGUACAGUUAGAUUCCAGCAUGUAUAUAAACUUCAUUAUGUUGAAUUGAAUCAAUAUAUAUAUCAAAACAAAACCAUCUUCAUCAUUCUAUAUUCAUUCUAAUUUUCUUGUAACCUGAAUUAUAAAGCUGAAGAACAACACGACCCAUUAAACUUUGAAUGGUAAAAAUAAAAACUUUGAUGAAGAAAAGAGAAAAGAGAGUGAAAGAGCCAAGACCCACCUGAAGGAAGCUGAAAAGAAGUAGAUUUUUUGGCCCUUCUGGUGUGAGAACGAGCUGAUGCUGCAGAAAUUUUUCUGUUAACUCCGGUGGCCAUUGUUGUGAGAGAGGAGAAGAAUAACAGAAAAAAAUGAAACUACAGUUAAAAGAUUUUCUUCGAAAAAAAACAAAAAUGUUGAAAGAUUUAGACCCAUUUAUUAAGAUUUUGACAUCGAAUAAUUUUGAUCGUGGUAAAAAAUAUUAUUUUUUAAAUAAAUAAUUUAGUUUGUUUGAAUAUAUUUAUAUAAAAGAAAUUUUUGUCAAAAAGUAGUUCAAUCUUUUGACAUUUAAUUUUCUCUCUCUUUUAAAUUUUUUUUUUCUUUGAGAAAAUGUUUUUAAUAGCUUCUCAUUUGAAGUUCUUUUUAGAUUUCUUUUUUAAAUUGUAAUAAAUGCAUACAAUACUCUUAAAAGUGAUUAUUUUGAUUAAAAAAGUGAUUCUUUUUUUAAAAAACUAUAAAAAAAAAAAGCGGGCUCUUAUUUAUUUAUGUGAGAAUUAAAACAGAGACAGAAGAGCCGAUCGAUCUUCUUCUUUGUUUUUUUCUUCAAUUUUUGUUAUUAUUAUUAUUAUAUGAAUAUCUUGGGUCUUCAAUUUUGUAGGAUUACCGAUUAAGCGGAAAAAGAUGUUUUAUCAUCUCAUCUAAAUGAUAUUAGGUUUUUUUUUCUUCCAAUUGACAGUUCUUUAUUUUAUUUUUCAUGAAUAUUGACAAUUGUUUCUUUAUUUUAUUUGAAUCAAACAUAAACUAAUUAUAAUUAAAUUUUGAUACAAUAGUAAAAGUAAAAAAUAACAGCAAUAAAUAUAUUGUUUCAUCCGAAACUUCAAUCUAAGUUUUAUGGAGGUUGACAAUGAUCUUCAUUAAAAAAAAAAAAUAACACACCAAGACAUACGUGUCAGUGUCCUAUUACACCCUAGUUUAUUUAUCAUUGACCAACCUUUGUGUGUUUUUCCUUUAAUUUGAUAUUUUAUUUAAUUUUUAUUAUUUUCCUUUUUUAUCAAUAAAAUAGCUGAAUUUUCUAUAUAAAUAAGGUAGUAACUUUUUAUGUAACCAUGUUUAUUUCAACUUUAACUUUUAGUUAAAUAAUUGUAUGUAUAAUUUUGCUCUUUAAGUUGGCAAUUUGUCUUCUUGGUGGCGCAUUUGCAGCUUUGGAUAUGGAGAAACAAAUUGCAACUACGAGCAAUGAGUCGUCCAAUGUAAUUCUUAGGAUGGUCAAGGAGAUCGAGCACUAUGAGCAUACUCUUUUGACGGGAAGGCCGAGGCAGCAGGAGACCAUUUACAUCAGCUUGAAGCAUCCUCACGGGAAAAGGCGAGGAUAAUAUCUAAUUGCUGACGAUGACUAUAUACAUCUCAAAAACAACAUCCCAACUUCUGUAAAUUUUAAAACAAAAGAACAACAUACAUAUUUAACUAUCAAGAAAUAACUAGAUUCAUCCUACAUUCAAGUUGCUCAAAGUUUAUCAUAUGUGUUGUGUGUGAUCUUCAGUUUGAAUUCUCCGAAACGGAGAUAAUAAAUGCCCAAGCUGGCUGGAUAGCCGGUGAUCAAUACAGAAGCCUACUUCACACCUAAAAGUAACUUAAUGAUAGUCUCACUCACACCAUCGGCAUGAGGGAAAAGGUGGCCAGAACCUGAAAGUUCAUGGUAGUGAACCCACGGAAGGUUUUGUGCGAUGUAUCGUUGUAGUGUGACAGGAACCAUAAUAUCUUCAUCUCCUUGCCAAAGAUGAACAGAACCUUCAUUGUUUGGAAAUGGAUUUUGAAGAUCCAAAGGAGUAUAUUCCCAUUUUCCAAAUCCAAUAUUUAUGUCACGGUGGAGGCUUUCAUAUUCACCUUGUUGUCGUACCUGCUCCUGAAACCACAUAAAAAUUUAUAAAUUUACAAUGAGAAUUGAGACGAGAAAUAUUCCAAUUGAAACAAGACAUUAUUAUAUAUCAUGAGAGACAACAAUACAGAGCAUAAAGCAACAAUACAGAGUAUACAAUUCCGAAAGACAACAAUACAGAGCAUAAAGCAUGAUUACAAAUAAAACUCUUGAACCUAGGAAAUCAAGAAUAAUAAGGACAAACAACUUAAUUGAGCGCUUAUAGCAUAAACGCUUAUUAAGUACUUAUGUAUAAACUAUUUCUAUAAGAAAAGGUAAAAUAAAGUCAAAUUAUUUUCAUAGUCAUAAUCUGUAUUCAUAAAUUAUCCUGGAGAGCUUAUGGAAAUAAUCUGAAAACAGCUUAUGGACAUGUCAUAAGCUGUUUCCGUAAACAGUCUCACAAGUGCUUAUGUUAUGUCAAUAGAAAAACUCAAAUAAGUCAAUCCAAACAGGUCCUAAGCAGUAAAAGUUGUUCAUUGCAGGCAGCUUUAAACAGUUAAAAAUAAACACAUGUAUCACGGCCAAACUCCAAUAGAAUAUAACUGAAUUUGUGCAGCUAAUGUGAGUCCUGAUAUUCACAUAUACAAUCACGGCCAAAAUUCAAAAUCAAUUUAACAAUUCAACCAAUCAAAACUAUCAGCUAAAUCACUUUGCUUCUAGAAAAACAAAUUCAAUUUUGCGAUCAUCUAAAAGCUUGAUACUUACCACAUAAUUCUCUUUAUUAUCCAUGAACUUAGUUACAAGCUCUUUGUCUUGUUUCGAAAGGAUAUCUGGACUACCAGAAAUCACACUAAUAAUUGGGAACCAUCUUUGAGUGUUCCACCAGUAUGUUAGCCAUGGCGUGUAGUGAGCAACACGAAGCGCCCAUUGGUCAUGUAAUUUCCAUUGGGAAUAGGCUUCGGCCGUUAAGUUUGCAGGAAGAUCAGGCCACCAGAAGUUGACGACUGGGGCUAAGAGCGCUGCACCUACCAGCCUGUCAGUAUUGAAAAAGUUUGUGUCAAUAGAAGAAAACUACAAAUAAACUAAAUAAGGUAUCAUAUAAAAAUAAAAUAAAAAGUCAAAUUGUUUUGAACUUUUGAUAUAAGCUAUCUUGGAGAGCUUACGAAAAAUAUGUUGAAAACAACUUAUGCACAUGUCAUAAGUUGUUUCAAUAAACUCUCCACAGUCUCAUAAGUUUUUAUGCCAGCAGUAAAUAAACUCUAGUAAGUCAAUUUAAACAAACUCUAAAUCAUACCUGUGAGGUAUGUGCUUAAGGCAGUUCCAAACAAUUUGCCCACCCAGGGAAGUACCAAUGACAUAGAAUUUGGACCCCAAUUCCAAUUGAUCAGCAAGCUCUUCUAUAUCUAAGGCAAUGCUCUUUAACGUACGAUUUGGAUCGGGAUCACUUUCUCCAUAACCAGGUCUAUCAAAGGAUACAAUGUAGACCCCUAAUUCCUUGACAAAAUCCUGCACAAAAGCUCACAUUAAAUAUAUUAUUAUAUAUCAUGAAGAAAUAUGAGAAUGCACGUAUAUCAGACAGAAAAAUUUGUAAUAUAGAAAAUUAC